rnacentral:lncRNA from 1 species
UUUAGAAUUUAUGACAGGUUUUGUAUGAUAUAUGGCUUGAAAAACCAAAAAAAUAGCAACAAUGCCCAAUUGGGUUUGGGAUUUACGAUAGGUUUUUCACAGAGGCAUUCUUUUAACAUGUGGAUACCUAGCAUGUUAUUCACGUAGGCAUUCUUUUACCAGGGGUAUUCUUUUAACAGUGAACACCUAGUAUGUCAUUCACAUGUUUAUUAUGGUAAUUUUGCAAAAAAUCCUACUAAAGGGAUAUACAUUUCUCGAUUUGUUUCAAUUCUCAAAUUAACACUUUGGACCAGCUCUAAGUCAAAUAAGCGGCCACAUGACAAUGUCUAUUUUGAAAUCUACUGUCCAUAUGUCACUCCCUAUAAUUCCUUUCACCAGCAUGAGCUUUCACUAUAAUGAAAUAGAAGUGUCUCAAUGAAGAAGCGCUCAAUGAAGUGUUCAUUGAAAUAGAAGCGUCUCGAUGAAGCCCUCAAUGAAAUAGAAGAUCUCAAUGAAAUAGAAGUCCUCAAUGAAGAAGCAGCCCUUAAUGACGAAGCCCUCAAUGAAGAAGCCCUCAAUGAAGAUCUCAAUGAAAUAGAAGCCCUCAAUGAAAUAGAAGCGUCUCAAUGAAGCAUGAAGCCCUCAAUGAAGCGUCUCAAUGAAGCCCUCAACGAAGCGUCUCAAUGAAGCCCUCAAUGACCACUAUAAGAAUAGAAGUGUCUCAAUGAAGGCUGAAGUAUAUAAGACCAUAUAGAAAAUUUACAACACAAUUUUGAAUAGCAAUGACUAUAGAAAAUUUACAACACAAUUUUGAAUAGCAAUGACUGAAAAGACAUUGAAGAGCAAUGACUCAAAAAGACAUCUCCCUUUUAACAGUAAGAAAGAAUGACAUGCUUUCACAUGGCUGAAUUUCAGCUUUUAUAACACAUUUUUUUUAUAGCCCUCUAUAAAUGGCACAAUCGCACUGGCCAUAGUUCAAAUGAUCAACCCACCCAUUUAAAUAAAUUAUAGAUGCUUGAACUCUCGCUCGCUAUCAAUGCACAAUAAAAAAUCAAUACAUAAUGUCCUUGAGAUAAUAUCCUUGAAUUGGAAUUGCAUGGAAAAUAAUAUAUGUUUACAUUACCAAAAGAACCCUUUUGUUACUUUCAACUACAACAUUUUCCAUAAAAGGAGAAUAAGUUGAAUUUUACGAUGGGCAUAAUUACAUUAAUAAAAAGGCAACCCUUAGUAAAAAAGCAAUUCCAAGUCAGAAAGUAACUCAUGUUUCUAAUCAGGAUUAUAAAAAUAAAAAAGAUGAGUGCAAGCAAGCACACAUUUAUUAUAUACAAGAAAUACAAAAAUUGUUGUAAACACUCAAAGGCACCAAGUAAGAAUUGAUGCAUGCGCUCUAUGGCAAUGAGUAUCGUAUCAUUGCCAACACUUGUUUCUUGAUUGAGCAUGACACGUUCUUCUGAUUCUUGCAUUGGAUUCCACUGUCGUGUAUUGCAUCAUCUUAAAUUGAAAUUUUCCACGGCGGUAUUAUAUUCACACCAUUGGAAAAACUCACAUAUAGAGCAUUUAUAGUACAUCCUAUUUGGGUUAUUUUGGCUUGCUGAUGGUUUUUUAGCACAAUCUAUACUGCACUUUGGCAUCGACGAGUUGUAUAUCCUCGAUUACUUGUAGAAUCAGAUGACAUUGUUACGGCCUACAAUAAUCGUAUCAAUACCACACUAUAAAUGACUAAAUAAAUACGUAUUUCAAGCACAUCAUAACAUUCAUUGCAAAUAUGUCAAUAAUAAUGUUAACAAUAACCACAACAGCAACAACGACCAUCACCACCUCUAUGAUGAGGCCCAUAACACUCCACUGAGCAACAUCAAUUCCACCCUGUUUGAACUUAACAAACCAAAAUGCUUGAUGAUUGAAAGUUAACAAACCUAAUGAAAAGCAAUCAAUCACUUAACAGAGCAACAUCAAUAAAUGCCACUUGACAAUUUUAAAACAAAAAAUCUCAAAAUUAGGACUUCUCAGAGCAACAUGAAUUCUUUGAACCUGUUACAAACAAAAAUGCUUAAUGAUUGAAAGUAAACAAACCUAAUGAAAAAAAAUCAAUCACUUAACAAAGCAACAGCAAUGGAUGCCACUCGACAAUUUUAAAACAAAAAAUCUCCAAAUUAGGACUUCACAGAGCAACAUGAAUUCCACCCUGUUUGAACCAGUAACAAACCAAAAUGCUUGAUGAUUGAAAGUAAACAAACCUAAUGGAAAAAAAUCAAUCACAUAACAGAGCAACAUCAAUGGAUGUCAUUUCACAAUUUCGGUAAAAUAUUUCUCAAAAUUAUGACUUCACAGAGCAACGUGAGUUCCACCCUGUUUGAACCAUUAACAAACCAAAAUGCUUGAUGAUUGAAAGUAAACAAACCUAAUGACAAAAAAAAUCAAUCAUUUAACAGAGCAACAUCAAUGGAUGCCACUCGACUAUUUUAAACGAAAAAAUCUCGAAAUUAGGACUUCACAUAGCGACAUCAAUUCCACCUUGUUUGAACCAUUAACAAACCAAAAUGCUUGAUGAUUGAAAGUAAACAAACCUAAUGAAAAAAAAUCAAUCACUUAACAGAGCAACAUCAAUAAAUGCCACUCGAAAAUUUAAAAAAAACAAAUCGCAAAAUUAGGACUUCAUAGAGCAACAUGAAUUCCACCCUGUUUAAACCAGUUACAAACCAAAAUGCUUGAUGACUGAAAGUAAACAAACCUAAUGAAAAAUAAUCAAUCAUUUAAUAGUGCAACAUCAAUGGAUGCCACAGGACAAUUUUAAACCAAAAAAUCAAUCGCUUAACAGAGCAACAUCAAUGGAUGCCAUUCAACAAUUAAAAAAAAAAAAAUCUCCAAAUUAGGACUUAAAUAUAACCAAACAUUAAAAUAUGCAGCCGGAGAAAAUAAACACUUUCCCCAAAUUGUCACGUAAAGGAAAUAAGCACAAUAUAGAUAAAAUGAAAAUCUAAAUUCAUAAAUGUAUUACUUUGGUAUUUGGAGUUGUUUUUUCCACAGAUUUGAGCCUCUUCUUAAAAAAAUUGCGAUUCAACAAAGAUGAGAGAGAUAGAGAAAACAAAUCAAGAUGGAGAUUUUGCAGAGUGACAAUGGUGAAGAAAUAUGGGUAAAAAUUCCAUAGUAAAUGUACAAGACAAAGACAUAAUUAAAUCCACAAAAAUGUAAACCUAAAUCCCCAAUAUUCAAAUAAAAAAUUACUGCAUCUGUGAAAGAUCUCUAAACUGCCAUGUCCGAGAUGCAAUUUUGUACGAUUUGCAUAAUCCAUUUUGAUGUAAAAUCGCAAAAGUCCAUAGAGUUGGCGGAUUAAUAAUUUACAAAGAUGAAACACAGAGAUGAUAUACAGUGUAAUAGCUCUGAAAAAAUGCAGCUAAAAAUAUUCAAGAAGAACUCCAUGAAACCAUGCCAAAAGUAAAUUGAAUUCGUACCUUGCUGUGAAUGGUUGAUUGAAGCCAGUAUUGUUGAGUUAGAGUUGCUGAGAAUAGAGGAGGCUUCCAGUGAGAGAGAUUCCAGAGUCCACGAAAUCUAGGCUUGCUGAUUUUGGGGAUUUAGGGUUGCUGAUUUUGGGGAUUUAGGGUUGCUGAAUUUGGGGAUUUAGGGUUGCUGAGCGAGGAGGCUGAUUGUUGUUCUUGGGAGAGAGAGAGAGGGAUGAGGCUCACAGUAGAGAAAGAGGCGAGGAGGCUCACCAAAGAGAGACAAUGGGAGGAGGCUCACGGGAUUUGGAGAGGGUGGGAGCCGGGUCACGGGGGAGAGAGAGAGGGAUGCCAGAGUUUAGGUAGAGAGAGAUGGUUUCACCGAGGAGAGAGUUUAGGUACAGGGAGAGAUGCCGUGCAUAGGCUAGAGAGAGAGUGUCAGUGCCCACAAUUUUUAGUUAUUGCUACAGUGCUUCGAUUUUAAGAACAAAUAAGAGCCGUUUUAAGAACAAAUAAGAGCCGUUCG